rnacentral:rRNA from 1 species
GAUGAACGCUGGCGGCGUGCCUAAUACAUGCAAGUCGAGCGAACAGACGAGGAGCUUGCUCCUCUGACGUUAGCGGCGGACGGGUGAGUAACACGUGGAUAACCUACCUAUAAGACUGGGAUAACUUCGGGAAACCGGAGCUAAUACCGGAUAAUAUAUUGAACCGCAUGGUUCAAUAGUGAAAGACGGUUUUGCUGUCACUUAUAGAUGGAUCCGCGCCGCAUUAGCUAGUUGGUAAGGUAACGGCUUACCAAGGCAACGAUGCGUAGCCGACCUGAGAGGGUGAUCGGCAACACUGGAACUGAGACACGGUCCAGACUCCUACGGGAGGCAGCAGUAGGGAAUCUUCCGCAAUGGGCGAAAGCCUGAAGGAGAAACGCCGCGUGAGUGAUGAAGGUCUUCGGAUCGUAAAACUCUGUUAUUAGGGAAGAACAAAUGUGUAAGUAACUAUGCACGUCUUGACGGUACCUAAUCAGAAAGCCACGGCUAACUACGUG